GGAAGUAAAAGUCGCAACAAGGUUUCCGUAGGUGAACCUGCGGAAGGAUCAUUAGUGAAUAUUAGGGCGUCUACUUCGGUAGGGCCUGACCUCCACUUUCUAACUCUGUGCACUUAUUUGGCGGAAAAGGGAAUUAGUAAUCUGUCUAAUGACGAUUGCGACUUCUUACUUUCUGCGGCUUACUUUAAACACUAGUCAAAGUAUGUAACGAAAUAUCGAAACAAAUAAAAACUUUCAACAACGGAUCUCUUGGCUCUC
rnacentral:misc_RNA from 1 species